rnacentral:rRNA from 1 species
UCGAGAAUCUUUCACAAUGGGGGCAACCCUGAUGGAGCGACGCCGCGUGGAGGAUAAGGUCUUCGGAUUGUAAACUCCUGUCAUGCGAGAACAAGGUUGUAGAGUUAAUAGCUUUGCAAAUUGAUGGUACCGCAAGAGGAAGAGACGGCUAACUCUGUGCCAGCAGCCGCGGUAAUACAGAGGUCUCAAGCGUUGUUCGGAAUCACUGGGCGUAAAGGGUGCGUAGGUGGCGUGGUAAGUCAGAUGUGAAAGCCCGGGGCUCAACCUCGGAAUUGCAUCCGAUACUGCCGUGCUAGAGUACUGAAGAGGUGACUAGAAUUCUCGGUGUAGCAGUGAAAUGCGUAGAUAUCGAGAGGAAUACCAACGGCGAAGGCAGGUCACUGGGCAGUUACUGACACUGAGGCACGAAGGCCAGGGGAGCAAACGGGAUUAGAUACCCUGGUAGUCCCUGAGCGGGCUGGCAAGGCGCAU